rnacentral:hammerhead_ribozyme from 1 species
GCACUGCUGAGGAGUCCUAAAAUAGGACGAGACGGCCGUCCAGUGC